UGAUGGCCGUUCCUCCUGUUGUCUUUAGGUAUGGCACUAGGAUUUUAGGUCAUCAUACAUUAACAUUGAUUUUUUUUCACUCAGAGAAAAUUAAGAUAUUGGGAUUAUCUGUGUUUUCUCUGAAAUUUGCGGGAUCAAACAAUC